rnacentral:rRNA from 1 species
GGGAUUAGCUGGGUAGCAAUACUCGGCUAUGAGACCGGCACACGGGUGCGGAACACGUACGCAACCUUCCCAAAACUGGUGAAUAGCCCUCCGAAAGGAGGAUUAAUACACCGUAACAUAAUGAUGUGGCAUCACAUUAUUAUUAUAGCUCCGGCGGUUUUGGAUGGGCGUGCGCCUGAUUAGGUAGUUGGCGGGGUAACGGCCCACCAAGCCUGCGAUCAGUAGCUGGUGUGAGAGCACGACCAGUCACACGGGCACUGAGACACGGGCCCGACUCCUACGGGAGGCAGCAGUAAGGAAUAUUGGUCAAUGGACGCAAGUCUGAACCAGCCAUGCCGCGUGAAGGAUGACGGCCCUCUGGGUUGUAAACUUCUUUUAUCUGGGACGAAAAAAGGUCAUUCUUGAUCACUUGACGGUACCAGAGGAAUAAGCACCGGCUAACUCCGUGCCAGCAGCCGCGGUAAUACGGAGGGUGCAAGCGUUAUCCGGAUUUACUGGGUUUAAAGGGUGCGUAGGUGGGUCUGUAAGUCAGUGGUGAAAUCUCCGAGCUUAACUCGGAAACUGCCAUUGAUACUAUAGGUCUUGAAUUAUCUGGAGGUAAGCGGAAUAUGUCAUGUAGCGGUGAAAUGCUUAGAUAUGACAUANAACACCAAUUGCGAAGGCAGCUUACUACGGAUCGAUUGACACUGAGGCACGAAAGCGUGGGGAUCAAACAGGAUUAGAUACCCUGGUAGUCCACGCCCUAAACGAUGGAUACUCGACAUUUGCGAUAUACUGUAAGUGUC